ACGCACGCUGGCGGCGUGCUUCACCCCUGCCAGUCGAACGGAAAGGCCUGCUUUCCCUUGUGGAUUGCGGGUACUCGAGUGGCGAACGGGUGAGUAACACGUGAGUGAUCUGCCCCCAACUUGGGUAUAAGCCUGGGAAACUGGGUCUAAUUCCCGAUAGGACUGCAGGGUGGUGCCUGUGGUGGAAAACGAUUUUCUAGUGGUUGGGGAUGAGCUCGCGGCCUAUCAGCUUGUUGGUGGGGUAAUGGCCUACCAAGGCGGCGACGGGUAGCCGGCCUGAGAGGGUGGACGGCCACAUUGGGACUGAGAUACGGCCCAGACUCCUACGGGAGGCAGCAGUGGGGAAUAGUGCACAAUGGGCGGAAGCCUGAUGCAGCGACGCCGCGUGGGGGAUGACGGCCUUCGGGUUGUAAACUCCUUUCGACCGCGAGGAAGCCACCUGGUUGGAAGGGUGGUGACGGUAGUGGUAGAAGAAGCACCGGCUAACUACGUG
rnacentral:rRNA from 1 species